rnacentral:rRNA from 1 species
GCGUGCUUAAUACAUGCAAGUCGAGCGAGCUUGCCUAGAUGAAUUUGGUGCUUGCACCAAAUGAAACUAGAUACAAGCGAGCGGCGGACGGGUGAGUAACACGUGGGUAACCUGCCCAAGAGACUGGGAUAACACCUGGAAACAGAUGCUAAUACCGGAUAACAACACUAGACGCAUGUCUAGAGUUUAAAAGAUGGUUCUGCUAUCACUCUUGGAUGGACCUGCGGUGCAUUAGCUAGUUGGUAAGGUAACGGCUUACCAAGGCAAUGAUGCAUAGCCGAGUUGAGAGACUGAUCGGCCACAUUGGGACUGAGACACGGCCCAAACUCCUACGGGAGGCAGCAGUAGGGAAUCUUCCACAAUGGACGCAAGUCUGAUGGAGCAACGCCGCGUGAGUGAAGAAGGGUUUCGGCUCGUAAAGCUCUGUUGGUAGUGAAGAAAGAUAGAGGUAGUAACUGGCCUUUAUUUGACGGUAAUUACUUAGAAAGUCACGGCUAACUACGUGCCAGCAGCCGCGGUAAUACGUAGGUGGCAAGCGUUGUCCGGAUUUAUUGGGCGUAAAGCGAGUGCAGGCGGUUCAAUAAGUCUGAUGUGAAAGCCUUCGGCUCAACCGAAGAAUUGCAUCAGAAACUGUUGAACUUGAGUGCAGAAGAGGAGAGUGGAACUCCAUGUGUAGCGGUGGAAUGCGUAGAUAUAUGGAAGAACACCAGUGGCGAAGGCGGCUCUCUGGUCUGCAACUGACGCUGAGGCUCGAAAGCAUGGGUAGCGAACAGGAUU